rnacentral:lncRNA from 1 species
GAAAAUAUGAGUUUGGAUUUAUUACUUUAUUUGUCUUGAUGCAGGUAUGCCAAUAAUUACUUGCUUCUUUUAUAUGGAUUGUAUUUCUAUCCAACAAUCUUUUACACCAUCUGAAAAUAUUGUUAUUACAUGGUAGAAAUGCGUGCAUCCCUAAUAUACUCUUGUAGUAAGGAAAAAUUAUUUAUAAUCUUAAUUAGAUGUCCUUCAUAGUUGAAAUUUACUUUUUACUUACUUGGCAUCCCAUUUCAGAACAAGCCCCAAAAAGAAAGCCUGUGUCAUAUUAUGUUAUAAUAUUUUCUUAUAAAUAAUAUUUUCUUAUAAAUCAUCUUCACAUUGGCGAUAUAUUCGCGAUGAAUGCGAAAUCAGUUUAUGAAUGAACUGGUAACAGAUUUUUCGUGGUAAACUAUACUGAAUAUGAAUUGAUUUGAUUUUUAGCAUUGGAAAGCCUUACCCUUUUUAACAGAAAGUUCUAAUUCUCACUAGCAAAUAGGUUUUGGUGAUAGUUUUCGAUCAAGAUUGAUGCACAUACUUGAGUUGAUUUCAAUUUGCUAUCAGAAAAAUCUCUUGAUAAUAUAUAUUGUGUGUUUUUAUUCUUUUUCUUCUAGCAAAGAUUGUUGCAUCUGGUGGUGUUUUAAUGACUCAAGUGUCUAUCGACCAUGAGAAGUAAAUCAAACUAAAUUGGUUAACUGUAGACAUUCUUGCAGAGCUACUCAACCAAGUUCUAUCCAAGGAUAUUAAGAAGCUUAACCCGAUAGAUCAGUAGUUUGAGCAUGAAAACUGGAGAAAGAAAUGUGAGUUUGAAUUGUUCUAUUUGUAUGUCCUUAUCCUUGGUGGGUAAAUUGUAUGACUUUUAUUUUGUAACUAAUUCACAUGUGCAGAAAAUGAUAUUUCUACUGUAGCGGCUUGAUGAAGUUUGUGCUAAUUAGUAUCUACCUUAAACAUAAAGUGUAUAAUAUUCAACAACUUAUAGUCGCUAUGAAGUUUCCUCCUUUGACUUUAUGUAUAUCUCUUAAAUUAUUGCAGAUUGAUUUGACAAUGUAGCAAGUGUUGGAGGAACGCGUGGUUAUCUUUGUGGAUGUAAUUUAAAAAGAGGAACGAAGUUCACAAUAUAGUUUUCAAUGUUCUGCUGCUAUUCCCCGAGGAUGGUUUAUGCCUCACUUUUGGGUUUGCAAAAUCAUAGCUCUUCUUUUCAAGUAUUUAUUGCUGUAAGAGUUACAAGUAUAUGUCCCAAGCAUACAGAGUGUAUGAUUUAAAUAAAACUUGAAAUCUAUAUUUUGC